AGAAGAGGGUCAUAGGUCAGCUGGCAUCAGAGAGGAGAGGUUCAUAGGUCAGCUGAUAUCACAAAGGAGAGGGUCAUAGGUCAGCUGGCAUCAGAGAGGAGAGGUUCAUAUGUCAGCUGGCAUCAGAGAGGAGAGGGUCAUAGGUCAGCUGGCAUCAGAGAGGGGAGGGUCAUAGGUUAGCUGGCAUCAGAGAGAAACGGGUCAUAGGUCAGCUGGCAUCAGAGAGGAGAGGUUCAUAGGUCAGCUGAUAUCACAGAGGAGAGGUUCAUAGGUCAGCUGGCAUCAGAGAGGAGAGGUUCAUAGGUUAGCUGGCAUCAGAGAGAAGAGGGUCAUAGGUCAGCUGGCAUCAGAGAGGAGAGGUUCAUAUGUCAGCUGGCAUCAGAGAGGAGAGGGUCAUAGGUCAGCUGGCAUCAGAGAGGAGAGGUUCAUAUGUCAGCUGGCAUCAGAGAGGAGAGGGUCAUAGGUCAGCUGGCAUCAGAGAGGAGAGGGUCAUAGG
ensembl:lncRNA